AGGCCGGGUAUGAGGAAGAAGAAAGGGACUCCAUGGCCAAUUUAUAGCUCGAGCUCAGUGCGCCGCUGGCAAAGCCACCAGCCCCGCUAGUCGCUUGACCGUUGGUGCUCGUUGGGAAUCCACGAGCAGUGCCGACAUGCACUAGCCCGCGAGGUGAGUGCUCGCUGUACCGGCAGCUAGCUCGCCAAACACCAUAGUAGGGCGGCCCGGGCACCAUACACCCUUAGGCACCGCAAGUGGAGGAAGCACCUAGAACUCACUCGGAGGAGGAAGAAGAGGCUGACAAUGGCCCCUGGGCCCACGUGUCAGCCAGAGUAGGCACCAUGCAUAGGGUACGACUAGCACGACCGGAAAUUCCAAAUUUUCUUUUUUCCAAAAAUCAUCAUACCCUCAGGCGCACCAAUUAUUGGCAUUAUUUUGUUGUGACCAUGUCGGACUGCGUGUUUUAAAAUGAAUCAUUAUCGUGGUGUUUAGCGACAUAGCAGGAGCAGGCUCUUGCAACCACCUUAACAAAUCUCGAGGAUGAGAUUUUCUGAAGGGGGUAAGGUCUGUAACACCAUGCGUUUAACUCUCGUGACUAAUUAUAUUUUCUUAAAAAUUAGGAGACCAAUGAAUUUUUUCAUCACUGAUUGUGAUGCAUGAUAUGAGUAGUGCUUGCUUUCUUGUGUUUGAAUCCCAAUGUUCCUGUUAGUCUCUAGACUCACCUCCUUGACCCAAAUCCUUGCCUAAUGAUCAUGCCAUGUGUAUAGGACCAGAAACUAUUUUACCAAAUAUUAUUUUCACCAAAAAACAUUUCCUUGAUUUAGGCUUUCAAAAACUCCUGAGUUGGGAUUUGUACUACAAGUCCUCAUAUUAGGGA
rnacentral:lncRNA from 1 species